rnacentral:rRNA from 1 species
AUCGGUGCCAGCCGCCGCGGUAAUACCGAAGCCCCAAGUGGUCGUCGAUCUUAUUGGGCCUAAAACGUCCGUAGCCGGUUUGGUACAUUCGUGGGUAAAUCAGACAGCUUAACUGUCUGAAUUCUGCGAGGACGGCCAAACUUGAGACCGGGAGAGGUGUAGGGUACCUGGCGGGGUAGGGGGUAAAAUCCUGUCAUCCCGUAGGGACCACCAGUUGCGAAGGCUCUACACUAGAACGGAUCUGACGGUCAGGGACGAAGCCUAGGGGCACGAACCGGAUUAGAUACCCGGGUAGUCCUAGGUGUAAACGCUGUGGACUUUGUGUCGGGGGUCUUUCGAGGACUCUCGGUGCCGGAGUGAAGAUGUUAAGUCCACUGCCUGGGGAGUACGGUCGCAAGGCUGAAACUUAAAGGAAUUGGCGGGGGAGCACCGCAACGAGAGGAGCGUGCGGUUUAAUUGGAUUCAACGCCGGAAAACUCACCAAAGCCGACUGUUAGAUGAAGACCAGCGUAACGAGCUUGUCGGAUUUUCAGAGAGGUAGUGCAUGGCCGUCGUCAGUUCGUACCGUAAGGCGUUCUGUUAAGUCAGAUAACGAACGAGACCCCCAUCGUCAUUUGCUAACCCUUUCUCCGGAAAGGGCGCACUAUGGCGAGA